GACGAACGCUGGCGGCGUGCUUAACACAUGCAAGUCGAACGGAAAGGCCCUGCUUUUGUGGGGUGCUCGAGUGGCGACCGGGUGAGUAACACGUGAGUAACCUGCCCUUGACUUUGGGAUAACUUCAGGAAACUGGGGCUAAUACCGGAUAGGAGCUCCUGCUGCAUGGUGGGGGUGGGAAAGUUUCGGCGGUUGGGGAUGGACUCGCGUCUUAUCAGCUUGUUGGUGGGGUAGUGGCUUACCAAGGCUUUGACGGGUAGCCGGCCUGGGAGGGUGACCGGCCACAUUGGGCCUGAGAUACGACACAGCCUAGUACGGGAGGCAGCAGUGGGGAAUAUUGCACAAUGGGCGGAAGCCUGAUGCAGCAAAGCAGCGUGCGGGAUGACGGCCUGCGGGUUGUAAACCGCUUUCGCCUGUGACGAAGCGUGAGUGACGGUAAUGGGUAAAGAAGCACCGGCUAACUACGUG
rnacentral:rRNA from 1 species